rnacentral:tRNA from 1 species
GCUAUAGAAGCCAAAUUAUAGGCGUUGGUCUUGUAAACCAAAAGAUGAAAUUUUUCCUAUCGCU